rnacentral:rRNA from 1 species
UGGGGAAUAUUGCACAAUGGGGGAAACCCUGAUGCAGCCAUGCCGCGUGUGUGAAGAAGGCCUUCGGGUUGUAAAGCACUUUCAGCGAGGAGGAAAGGUUGAUGCCUAAUACGCAUCAACUGUGACGUUACUCGCAGAAGAAGCACCGGCUAACUCCGUGCCAGCAGCCGCGGUAAUACGGAGGGUGCAAGCGUUAAUCGGAAUUACUGGGCGUAAAGCGCACGCAGGCGGUUGGAUAAGUUAGAUGUGAAAGCCCCGGGCUCAACCUGGGAAUUGCAUUUAAAACUGUCCAGCUAGAGUAUGGUAGAGGGUGGUGGAAUUUCCUGUGUAGCGGUGAAAUGCGUAGAUAUAGGAAGGAACACCAGUGGCGAAGGCGACCACCUGGACUGAUACUGACACUGAGGUGCGAAAGCGUGGGGAGCAAACA